GAGGAAAAGAAACCAACCGGGAUUGCCUUAGUAACGGCGAGUGAAGCGGCAAAAGCUCAAAUUUGAAAUCUGGUACCUUCGGUGCCCGAGUUGUAAUUUGGAGAGGGCAACUUUGGGGCCGUUCCUCGUCUAUGUUCCUUGGAACAGGACGUCAUAGAGGGUGAGAAUCCCGUGUGGCGAGGAGUGCGGUUCUUUGUAAAGUGCCUUCGAAGAGUCGAGUUGUUUGGGAAUGCAGCUCUAAGUGGGUGGUAAAUUCCAUCUAAAGCUAAAUAUUGGCGAGAGACCGAUAGCGAACAAGUACAGUGAUGGAAAGAUGAAAAGAACUUUGAAAAGAGAGUGAAAAAGUACGUGAAAUUGUUGAAAGGGAAGGGCAUUUGAUCAGACAUGGUGUUUUGUGCCCUCUGCUCCUUGUGGGUAGGGGAAUCUCGCAUUUCACUGGGCCAGCAUCAGUUUUGGUGGCAGGAUAAAUCCAUAGGAAUGUAGCUUGCCUCGGUAAGUAUUAUAGCCUGUGGGAAUACUGCCAGCUGGGACUGAGGACUGCGA
rnacentral:rRNA from 1 species